rnacentral:lncRNA from 1 species
UUUUAUUUUAAUCUCUUUUUUUUUUUUUUUUUGAAUUACAUGAGACUAAUUCUCAUAUUACAACUCAUAUUAUAUGAGAUUUACAACUAAUAUUUACAAUCAGACAAUUACUGGGCCUAAUUUACAUUAAUUCUUAUGUAGCACUGUCCAGAUUUUACCCUCUCUAAUAUUCGAGGGGUGUCUACUCUACUCACAUCUCGAAAGGGAGUAAACGGCCUUCACUUAAAGAUUAAGGAAGGAAAUAAACCCAUACUUGGGUUGCGGGGGCUCGAACCGUUGUGCUCACAGUUGUGAGUGCAAGGUUCUGGCCACUGGGCUAAGGCC